CUUCAAAGCCCGGUUUGACCAACUCUGCAGGGCCUACUGGACGCGACUACAGCGCAAACCUUCCUCUCAAACCCUGCAUGAAAAGCAGGGGCACGCACCAGAGGCUCCACGUCAGAUCCACUCCGAGCAUGGGAUCCAAACAGAUGUACGCCCGCUUCGCCGCCCAAACACCUGGAGGGCUCCCCGCAAGCCCCAGGGCUCCAAAACCCAGGUACACGCUGGGCAAGGCACGGCCACAUGGCCAUGUACAAAGCAAUGUUACUCAAAGCUGAAGACAACGGAGAAGCGGCGGAGGGCAGCUG